UCAGAAGAGGACGUGCUGGUUUCAGCCUCAUGGUGGCGUUCAGUUUGUCACUUACUGCCAAGAUCGACUCAAUAGCAUCCUCUCCCCUGCCUUAGACAUUAUUUAUGAGCACGAACCAAUCCAAAUGAUCAACUUUGCUUUUCCACUAGACCGCCUCUAACCGGUACAGUGCGGUUCAACGUUCCAUAUAAAUGGAAAUGAACAUUUCCAUUUAUAUGGUAACGCAGGUGUCCUAAGGCGAGCUCAGGGAGGACAGAAACCUCCCGUGGAGCAGAAGGGCAAAAGCUCGCUUGAUCUUGAUUUUCAGUAUGAAUACAGACCGUGAAAGCGGGGCCUCACGAUCCAUAUAAAUGGAAAUGAACAUGGUUUGUUCCUCGUUGUUGUGGGCGGGUCGUGAGCGUACAGCAACUGUGUUCAAUUCUCUGAUGUCUGCAGCAACACUCGGCAAAGAAAAACCUAGAGGUUUUAGUUUUGAACUUAAAUAAACCCAGAUAUUACAUUUUGUCUUAUAGAAAUUUAUUACUGGCCUAAAUAUAAUGAUAAAGACUCAGAUCAAUUGAUUAUUUUGCUAUACAUUUUAAUAUAACUACAUUUAUUUUUUUAAAUAUGUAACCUUUUAGAUUUAUAUAAUGUAGUCAAAAGAUUU
rnacentral:ncRNA from 1 species